rnacentral:rRNA from 1 species
AAAUUGAAGAGUUUGAUCAUGGCUCAGAUUGAACGCUGGCGGCAGGCCUAACACAUGCAAGUCGAACGGUAACAGGAAGCAGCUUGCUGCUUUGCUGACGAGUGGCGGACGGGUGAGUAAUGUCUGGGAAACUGCCUGAUGGAGGGGGAUAACUACUGGAAACGGUAGCUAAUACCGCAUAACGUCGCAAGACCAAAGAGGGGGACCUUCGGGCCUCUUGCCAUCGGAUGUGCCCAGAUGGGAUUAGCUAGUAGGUGGGGUAACGGCUCACCUAGGCGACGAUCCCUAGCUGGUCUGAGAGGAUGACCAGCCACACUGGAACUGAGACACGGUCCAGACUCCUACGGGAGGCAGCAGUGGGGAAUAUUGCACAAUGGGCGCAAGCCUGAUGCAGCUAUGCCGCGUGUAUGAAGAAGGCCUUCGGGUUGUAAAGUACUUUCAGCGGGGAGGAAGGGAGUAAAGUUAAUACCUUU